GGGCCCUUAGCUCAGUUGGUUAGAGCAUCCGACUCAUAAUCGGCAGGUCGGCAGUUCAAGUCUGCCAGGGCCCACCA
rnacentral:tRNA from 1 species